rnacentral:lncRNA from 13 species
GGAGAGGCGAGCACAAAGGGCUCGGAAUCUUAACGGAUUGGCGUGACAAGGCACGCGCACAAGGCCAUGAUUAUCAGUCCACGAUUAUUAAUAUCUCUAAGGUUUUGCUCAUGCUAUCCUCUCCCUUCCUGGAAAACCCUCCCCACCUCAAGGGUUACUUCCUCCAAGAAGCAUUCCUGGUGGUCUUCUGGCUGCCGGCCUCCUAGGUACCGCAGCCGCCACUGCCAGGGCCAGGAACCUCUUCAGCACUACGGACAGCGCUCAUUCGCCCAUUCACAGCCGGCGCCUCAGCCGGCAUCGUUUCAGAACGACGGACAGCUCCUGGCGCAACCCCAGCCGGGCCCUGGCGGCAGGGCUCACACACCCCAGGCGCUCCAUCAGCACCUGGGCACACUUGGGGUCAAGGCCAACAAUGAGAAGAAAGGUUCCCCCGGAUUGCCAUGCUGCCCCCGGAGCCCCUCUUCAGUAAGAAUCUCCCUCGCCGUCGCCAAAGAUGUCCCAAGCAGCAGACCUGAACAAGACCACAGACUCACUGGUCCAUAGGGCCACCCCACACCUCAGAAGCGUGAGGGUGACCUCACACCUUUGCCCAGCACAGGACAGAGACUUGAAGUACUUUUAACUGUGCAAGAACUCUGGUUGAGCAAAAACCACACAUGCUUAUACCUGCAAGCCUUAUUCUCAUUCUCAGCAAGGUAAGCCUCCCUAUCAUAUUUUUUUCUUUUGCAUAUCACCCCCACUCUUGCAGCACACUUCUGUUUGUUUGAUCUUGUGCAUGGUACCCAUUAAGGUCAUCCUGCUCUCAAACUUCUCUGAAGCCUGUACCUUUCAGGGUUGUACCACUCUGGGGUGAUUAGUGAGAAACUGUCUGUAUUAUCUUCCUCUUCUGAGACCCUCUUAGCUUCCUAGUUUGUAGAAUGUCUUUGAGGAUAGAGACUAGCUUCUUCAUGACAUAGUAGAGUGCUUGAGUGUACCAAGAACUCUAGAGGGACUAAAAUAUGUUAAAAUAUAGGCUUUCUUAUUUCUAAGGUAGGUGGUGAUGUAUCAAUUUGUAUUCCCUAAAAAUCAAUUUAGAGAAUAUCAUCUCAUAAGGAACAUCAAAUAUUUCUCUUGGUUUUAUAAUGGCUAUGUUUCAUUGAGUCAAAAAAGUAGUUCUGCCACUCCCAUCGCCCCAUUUUCUGUCAGGGACACAGAGGCACAGGACAGUUGAAUAAUCUGUCAAGCG